rnacentral:rRNA from 1 species
GUAGGUGGUUUGUCGCGUUGUUCGUGAAAUCUCACGGCUUAACUGUGAGCGUGCGGGCGAUACGGGCAGACUUGAGUACUGCAGGGGAGACUGGAAUUCCUGGUGUAGCGGUGGAAUGCGCAGAUAUCAGGAGGAACACCGGUGGCGAAGGCGGGUCUCUGGGCAGUAACUGACGCUGAGGAGCGAAAGCGUGGGGAGCGAACAGGAUUAGAUACCCUGGUAGUCCACGCCGUAAACGGUGGGUACUAGGUGUCGGUUUCCUUCCUUGGGAUCCGUGCCGUAGCUAACGCAUUAAGUACCCCGCCUGGGGAGUACGGCCGCAAGGCUAAAACUCAAAGAAAUUGACGGGGGCCCGCACAAGCGGCGGAGCAUGUGGAUUAAUUCGAUGCAACGCGAAGAACCUUACCUGGGUUUGACAUGCACAGGACGCCGGCAGAGAUGUCGGUUCCCUUGUGGCCUGUGUGCAGGUGGUGCAUGGCUGUCGUCAGCUCGUGUCGUGAGAUGUUGGGUUAAGUCCCGCAACGAGCGCAACCCUUGUCUCAUGUUGCCAGCGGGUAAUGCCGGGGACUCGUGAGAGACUGCCGGGGUCAACUCGGAGGAAGGUGGGGAUGACGUCAAGUCAUCAUGCCCCUUAUGUCCAGGGCUUCACACAUGCUACAAUGGCCGGUACAAAGGGCUGCGAUGCCGCGAGGUUAAGCGAAUCCUUUUAAAGCCGGUCUCAGUUCGGAUCGGGGUCUGCAACUCGACCCCGUGAAGUCGGAGUCGCUAGUAAUC